rnacentral:rRNA from 1 species
UACGAAGGGUGCAAACGUUGCUCGGAAUUAUUGGGCGUAAAGAGCUCGUAGGCGGCUUGUCGCGUCGGUUGUGAAAGCCCGGGGCUUAACCCCGGGUCUGCAGUCGAUACGGGCAGGCUAGAGUUCGGUAGGGGAGAUCGGAAUUCCUGGUGUAGCGGUGAAAUGCGCAGAUAUCAGGAGGAACACCGGUGGCGAAGGCGGAUCUCUGGGCCGAUACUGACGCUGAGGAGCGAAAGCGUGGGGAGCGAACAGG